rnacentral:rRNA from 1 species
GUGCCAGCAGCCGCGGUAAUACGAAGGGGGCUAGCGUUGUUCGGAAUCACUGGGCGUAAAGCGCACGCAGGCGGAUUGAUAAGUCGGGGGUGAAAUCCCGGGGCUCAACCUCGGAAUUGCCUUCGAUACUGUCUGUCUUGAGUCCGGGAGAGGUGAGUGGAAUUCCUAGUGUAGAGGUGAAAUUCGUAGAUAUUAGGAAGAACACCAGUGGCGAAGGCGGCUCACUGGCCCGGUACUGACGCUCAUGUGCGAAAGCGUGGGGAGCAAACAGGAUUAGAUACCCUGGUAGUCC